UACGAAGGGGGCUAGCGUUGCUCGGAAUCACUGGGCGUAAAGGGUGCGUAGGCGGGUCUUUUAAGUCAGAGGUGAAAUCCUGGAGCUCAACUCCAGAACUGCCUUUGAUACUGAAGAUCUUUGAGUUCGGGAGAGGUGAGUGGAACUGGCGAGUGUAGAGGUGAAAUUCGUAGAUAUUCGCAAGAACACCAGUGGCGAAGGCGGCUCACUGGCCCGAUACU
rnacentral:rRNA from 1 species